GCUUAAAUUAAAGAAGGAUGCCACAUAGAACCCAGCCUAUGAAAGCACUCUUAAUGUUUACUGGUCUCAAUGUUAUUUUGGUAUCAACCAUUACUCCAGUCUAUGAUUUUGUUUGCUUUCUUCCAUAUUGGGAAAGAAGGAGAGAACAUCGUCAUCAAGAAUGCGAAGCUGCUUUGGCAAAGGGAUCUGAAUCAACAUAAAUGGGUCUCCAAGUUUAGGGCCAGGAGCUGAUGCUCCCUUUUGAGCAGCAGAGAAAGGGGAUGUCAUGUGCAAGCCGUGUCAGAAGACCACACAUACCUCUGUUCUUGAUCAGCAGUAGUCAAAGUUGUAUAACCCAUAUUUACAGGCAGCUUCUUGAUGCCUGCAUUGAAUCAAAAUCACUCAGAGAAGCCAAGAUAGUCCAUCAGCAUCUCCUCAAGAAUGGCAACACCGCCACCAGCAACAACAGUGCCAUUGUACUGGAUAAACUAACUCGUCUGUACAUUACAUGUAAUGAACUUGAGCUUGCUGGUCGGGUCUUUGAUACAAUUCCAAACCCAGAAAGGAAAAAUAAUGUCAUCUUGUGGAACCAGAUGAUCAGAGCUUAUGCGUGGGAAGGACCGUUUUACCAUGCCAUUGAAUUGUACUACAAAAUGAUUGAAUCUGGGGUCACACCCACCAAAUUCACAUACCCAUUUGUUCUUAAAGCGUGUUCUAAUUUACAGGUCAUAGAAGAUGGUAGGAAGAUUCAUGAUCAUGUGAGGAGACUUGGGCUGGAGUCUGAUGUCUACAUUUGCACUGCUUUGGUUGACUUUUAUACUAAAUGUGGGUGUUUAAUUGAAGCACGGAAGGUUUUUGAUAAUAUGUCUAAUAGAGAUGUAGUAGCCUGGAAUGCAAUGAUUGCUGGUUCGUCUCUUCACGGGCUGUAUAGUGACACGAUAAGAAUGGUUAUUCGGAUGCAGGAAGCAGGAUUAAGUCCCAACUCUUCUACGGUAGUGUCAGUUCUUCCUGCACUUGGCGAAGUGAACGAUUUGAGGCAUGGGAAAUCCGUGCAUGGUUACUGUGUGAGGAGGAGUUUUCACAGUGAUGUGGUGGUUGCAACUGGGCUUUUGGACAUGUAUGGCAAAUGUCGGUGCCUAGUUUAUGCAAGUAGGAUUUUUUAUAUAAUGGUGGUCAAAAAUGAGGUUACUUGGAGUGCUAUGAUUGGAGUGUAUGUUUCACGUGAUUUUGCGAGAGAGGCAUUGGAAUUAUAUGACCAAAUGCUUCUCAGGGAUUGUAUAUGUCCGUCACGAGUUAUACUAGGGAUUGUACUGCAAGCUUGCUCAAAGCUGACUGAUCUGAGAAGAGGGAGAAGGGUACACGGUUACAUAAUUAAAUCAGGGUCUAUUUUUAAUGUAAUGUUGGGUAACACGCUGCUUUCAAUGUAUGCAAAGUGUGGAGCUAUAGAGGAUGCGAUGAGAUUAUUUGACGAAAUGGAUUCGAAAGAUUCGGUUUCAUAUAAUGCUAUUAUCUCAGGGUGUGCACAGAAUGGCAAGGCAGAAGGGGCUCUGGGUAUUUUCCACAAGAUGCAAUCGUCAGCGUUCGAGCCAGAAUUGGCAACCAUGGUUAGUUUCUUACCUGCUUGUUCACACUUGGCUGCUCUGCAACUCGGAGCUUGUGGCCACUCUUACUCUAUUGUGCGUGGAUUUACAACAGAUACCUCAAUUUGUAAUGCUCUUAUUGACAUGUACUCGAAGUGUGGUAAGGUUGAUAUAGCCAGACUAGUUUUUGAUGUGAUGCGUAAGAGAGAUAUUGUCUCAUGGAAUGCUAUGAUUUUCGGGUACGGUAUUCACGGGCUCGGUAUUGAAGCUGUUUUGCUAUUCCAUGAUAUGCAGACAGUAGGCUUAAAGCCAGAUGAUGUGACCUUCAUUUGUCUCUUAUCAGCUUGCAGCCAUUCAGGACUUGUUGCUGAAGGGAAAAAGUGGUUUUGUGCUAUGAACCAAGAGUUCUUUGUAGUUCCAAGGAUGGAACACUACAUGUGCAUGGUCGAUCUUUUGGGGCGUGCUGGGCUCUUGUAUGAGGCUCGGAGUUUCAUUGAAACGAUGCCAUUUGAUCCUGAUGUUCGUGUAUGGAGUGCAUUGCUUGCUGCUUGUAGAAACUAUAAGAAUAUUGAACUUAGCGAAGAAGUAUCAAAUAAGAUCCAGAGCUUGGGACCUGAAAGUACUGGAAAUUUUGUUCUGUUAUCGAAUAUAUACAGCACUGUUGGGAGAUGGGACGAUGCUGCAAAUGUUAGAAUCGUGCAGAGGAAUCGAGGAUUCAAGAAAAGCCCAGGAUGUAGUUGGGUUGAAAUAAAUGGGGUUGUCCAUGGAUUUGUUGGUGGAGAUCAAUCACACCCGAAUUCAGCAGAAAUAUACAAGAAAUUGGAGGAGAUGGUAAUGGAGAUGAAGAAGUUGGGUUAUCAUUCUGAAUCUAGUGUUGUUCUUCAAGAUGUUGAAGAGGAGGAGAAGGAAAGCAUUCUCCUCUGUCACAGUGAGAAACUAGCUGUUACGUUUGGAAUUCUUAGUCUGGGCCCUGACAAGCCCAUUCUUGUAACCAAGAAUUUGAGGAUUUGUGGAGACUGCCAUGUGGCACUGAAGUAUGUCAGCGUUGUUGCAAGAAGAGAGAUAACUGUGAGAGAUGUGAGUCGAUUUCAUCAUUUCAGGGAUGGGAUUUGCAACUGUGGGGAUUUCUGGUGAGAAGAGAAUGAAUGAGAAAUCACAGUAGAGCAGCCCACACACACAACACAACACAAUUCAAUUCAUUUUUUCUGAGAUUCACAAACCUAUCUCUCACUCUUCUCUCCAAACCCUAACCCUACAUCCUUUGAUCGGCGGCGACUACAAGCGGCAGCAGUGGCCUGCAGCGACGGUGAGCGACUGAGGUAUUCACCCCCCAAAAAAAAGAGCGACUGAGAUCUUAAUCUUCUCAUUGAUUUGGGUUUUAUUAGGCAAAAGGAGGUUUCAAUGUGGAGAAAGUGCAGUAUAAGAAUGUGGUCUUCACAGUGUGGGAUGUAGGCGGACAAGAGAAAUUAAGACCACUAUGGAGGCAUUACUUGGAUAACACUGAUGGACUAGUAACAAUAAGUUCUUCUAGUCAAUGUUGCUGAUAUAUCUUCUCUAGUUAUUAAUUUUUUUACAUUAUUAAAUCGCUGUCCCUUCUUUAUGAACUGUCUACAUGCUUUAGCUGGAUUUAUGCCUUUUAAUAUUUGAUUUGUGGUGGUGGCUUUUUCUCAACGGCUAGGUGGCAUAGCAUUAAUUUAGUGCAUCAUAUUUGUAUUAUUUACAUCCCCCCACCCACCCACACACUGAAAAAAGGGGGAAAAAAAUGAGAGAAGCUCCUUCUUGUCUAGAUACAAUUUUUAAAGUUUAGGAUAUCCACUUGCAUAGGUUGACGACUUCCGUCUUCCAUAUUUUCAGAUUUAUGAUUGUGUGCUUAUAAGAUGGAUGUAUAUGCUGUUUGAGAACUUGACUAGUAGGAUUGUUUGUGUUGGUAGGGAUGGAUUUACGCAUAUAGUGCAGGCUCUGGAAUUAUAAUUGAUUCUGAUGUUACUAUUUUAACUUGUGCUCAUCUUGUGAUGGGUUCUCAUGCCAAAAAAGUUAAAUACGAAGGCAAGGUUGAUGUGACUUUGCAAGAUGGCCAAACAUUUACCGGUACUGUGAUAUAUGCUGAUUCACAUACUGAUAUUGCUAUUGUGAAGAUCAAUUCUAGAACUCCUUUCCCAGCAGCAGAACUUGGAUUUUCACAUAAGCUAUGUCCUGGGGAUUGGGUGGUGGCCAUGGGCUGUCCCCUUAGUUUUGUACUAAGUUUUUUCAUUUUUUUAAUAUAUAUAAUCACAGUUAAAUCUUUUUUAUUAAUUUUUUUUGUAUAUACUUUUUAACAUUCAACUUUUAUUUAUGAAAUAUAUGACGUUAUUUCGUUCA